GACACAAAAGUUUUUCAAGUGUUACGCUAUUUCCGCGACACCUCAACGGAAAUUUUUAAAAUAAAAACAGAUAUGCUCGUCAUAUCCUCAUUUCCUCUCCUUCAUCGCUAAUAGUCAAGGGUUCAGCCUGAGACCACAGCCUCCAAGCCUAGGACUCGGAGUUGAACGAGCUUGCGGCGGCCGAGGAGGAAUCGGACGAUGUUGCUGGUGGAAACCUCAUGCGGAGCAAGGCUUCACCGACUAACUCCCAUUUCUACCUCUUUGCUAUGGAAACCGGUUCGAAUUCCACUAAGAAAUCGACCAGAGGAAGGCUGAAGAAGGUUAUCGAUCUGGCGGAGGAUGUUACUGAGGUUUCGGAGUUGAACGAGGUUGUGGCGGCCAAGGAGGAAUUGGACAAUGUUGCUGGUGGAAACCUCAUGUGGAGCAAGGCUUCACUGCCUGAGCGGAAACGGAUCUGGAAGAGGAAGCGAAGCAGCGUUGGCCUCACCGCUACCAGAAGGGCACAGAAAUCAAAUGGUGGAAUUAGGAGUAUAACUAAGUAAAUUUCCUCUGCUGCCAAGAUGAAUCUGGUGGGGUACUUCAGGCUAAGAGACAUUUUACAGCAGCAAAAGUUGAUGGCCUGGUUUAUAAGCUUGGGGGUGAUGCUUAUGUUAAGAUGGCCCUCCCCGGAUCCUCCCAAUGAUGGCGCUUAGAGGAGAUGAAUUAUUGUUGCACCAAUUGUUGAAAUGGGGCCUUCACCCAAAUGAAUCUGACAACAAUGGGAGAACAGCUCUUGAAUGUGAACUCCACUGCUGAAUUUUUUUAAACUGUGUGGCUGAGUGCCACAUUUCAAUCAAUUUCUUUUGCUUUUCCAUUUUCCACCCUUCAGCAUAAAGCAGUAUCUAAAGGACAUGAGAAUUGUGUACUUCUGCUGGACUUUGGGGCCGUUCCCAACAUUAGAGGAAUACAAAUACAUCACGAGAAUGAGGUUGACUUACAUUAGUUCAUCUGUGGCAUCCCAUCUUAGGAAUACAAAUACAAAUACUUGUUCGUGAUAUCCCAUGGUCUCAAGAAGAAUCAUAAGCUGGUGGCAAAAUUCUUUACAAGUUAUUAUGCAUAAAGCUAUUUAUCUCAUCAGAUCAUAUACCGGUCAGGUGAUGUUCAGAGACUGGUGGUAAGUAUCUGAUAGACCUUUUUGUGAUUCGUGAAAGAUAAAUAUGCCAAACUAAAGCAAGCGAGUAAAACAGAUCAUCCCGUUGGACUCAGUGUAAGAACUCUCCCCCUCACUCAUUCCCUUUUUCUUUAUCUUUAUAUGUAUUCCCUUCCAAAGUAAGUUUCUGCUCCACGAAUACUGUUUUUAUUUUGUAAUUAAUUAAAUAUGGAAAGGGUUGCUUGCUCUAGUUUGUUGUCUUUUGCGUUAGCUUGUCCGCCACUAUUACCUCACACUGUCCUUUUCAAUAUUAUUGCCAGGUGAAUGCUGUAAAGUUUAAUGAUUAAUGAUUAUGCUACUGUAGUUGUAUCUGCCGGAUAUGAUAAAUCUUUGCGCAUUUGGGACUGCAAAUCUCACAGUACUGAUGAGCCAAUUCAGGUUUUGAUUUGUCAAAAUGAAGGUGAAAGGUGCAUGAAAGAAACAUCUAUUAAUUCACUGAGGAUAAGCCUCAAGAUCCCAAGUACAGUGCAGGCAAAUGCUGAAGUUCCCGAGGAUGAAGAAGACAUUGAUGAAGAAGCUGUAAGAACUGCAUCCAUGUAUCAUAGUUUUUGUCUUUUCUUUUUAGAUUAGAUUGACUUGUGUUAAAUUUUUAACUGUAUACUCAUGAUGGAUUCUUUUCAAGUAUAUGAAAUGUCUAUUUUGUA